rnacentral:rRNA from 1 species
AUUGAACGCUGGCGGCAUGCCUUACACGUGCAAGUCGAACGGCAGCACGGGUGCUUGCACCUGGUGGCGAGUGGCGAACGGGUGAGUAAUACAUCGGAACGUACCUUAUCGUGGGGGAUAACGCAGCGAAAGCUGUGCUAAUACCGCAUACGCCCUGAGGGGGAAAGCGGGGGAUCGCAAGACCUCGCGCGAUUAGAGCGGCCGAUGCCUGAUUAGCUUGUUGGUGGGGUAAAAGCCCACCAAGGCGACGAUCAGUAGCUGGUCUGAGAGGACGAUCAGCCACACUGGGACUGAGACACGGCCCAGACUCCUACGGGAGGCAGCAGUGGGAAAUUUUGGACAAUGGGGGCAACCCUGAUCCAGCAAUGCCGCGUGAGUGAAGAAGGCCUUCGGGUUGUAAAGCUCUUUUGUCAGGGAAGAAACACCGGCUCUAACACAGUCUGGGAAUGACGGUACCUGAAGAAUAAGCACCGGCUAACUACGUGCCAGCCGCCGCGGUAA